rnacentral:rRNA from 1 species
AUGGAAAAGUUGGGUUUUGCUCACCGAUGGAUUGACUCGAUUAUGACUAGUGUCACAUCGGUGAGAUAUUCUGUGAGAUUCAAUGGAACCCUCUUGGAUUCAUUUGCACCGUCAUGUGGUCUUCGGCAAGGUGAUCCGCUCUCCCCUUUCUUGUUUUUAUUCGUGGCUGACGGUCUGUCUGCAAUUCUGAGACAGCGUGUUGAAGUGGGCUUGAUUACUCCAAUAAAGAUUUGUAGGCGUGCACCUGGCAUAUCACACCUCUUGUUUGCUGAUGACACACUCCUAUUUUUUGAGGCGUCUCGUGCACAAGCUGAACAAGUUAAAUCCUAUCUAGACCUGUAUGCAAAUGCUACAUGCCAGCUA